rnacentral:rRNA from 1 species
AAUAUUGGACAAUGGGCGAAAGCCUGAUCCAGCAAUGCCGCGUGAGUGAUGAAGGCCUUAGGGUCGUAAAGCCCUUUCGCCGGGGAAGAUAAUGACGGUACCCGGUAAAGAAGCCCCGGCUAACUUCGUGCCAGCAGCCGCGGUAAUACGAAGGGGGCUAGCGUUGCUCGGAAUGACUGGGCGUAAAGGGCGCGUAGGCGGUUUGGUUUGUUAGGUGUGAAAUUCCUGGGCUUAACCUGGGGGCUGCACUUAAGACGGCCAGGCUUGAGUGUGAAAGAGGGUCGUGGAAUUCCCAGUGAAGAGGUGAAAUUCGUAGAUAUUGGGAAGAACACCGGUGGCGAAGGCGGCGACCUGGUUCAUUACUGACGCUGAGGCGCGAAAGCGUGGGGAGCAAAC